UAAAACUUCCCCAGCUUUGCUGUUGUGGAGACACUGCUUUGGAAAAAAUUCCUAGUGUUCUCCUUACUUGCUGCAAGUAAUAAUAAAUCUUUCCUCUUCCUUUAAAAAUAAAAAAGUACAGCUCCAAGAACAAGAGGCAAGCUGACCCAAGGGAGGAAAAGCGGAGGUUCUUGUCUCCCCUUUCUCUUAUAUUCUCACUUAGAGGUGGUCUCUUGAUUGAUUAACAGCUCUUGCCUCUGGAAUACUUAGUCAUGUCUGGCCCGUUUGCACAUGACCUUACCCAUGAUGUAUACAGAAAAACCCAUGGGGGAGGGGAGCCUAAACCACAAUGUUAAUUAUAAUACAAUGAACAUUGGGUCAUGUCCAGUUAAGUCCUUUCUGCUACUGCGCAGUCGUGGCUGUCAGUUUCUUGCUGUCACUCAUUUAGAAGUCAAGUCUCUUUAUGCUGGAGGCGGGCAUAACAUCAUCUUCCAGACUAUCCUCCCUUUCCUCCACCUAUCUGCCUGGUGCCCCCACAUAGCUAACUACCUAACACUUCUCAGUGCUCUGGAACA